ACCAGUUUAAGGGAUCCAUACCACAAGAUUGUCCUCAUUACAGAUGCAAAUUACAAGAAUCGUGAGACUAGGGUACCCACACUCUGUCUGAGCUGGCUACAAUGAUGAGGAUUCCUACAACCUCCUCCUUCAGUAUUUUAUCUGGAUGGUGAUGCCAGUAAAUUUUGAGAUGGGAGGAAACGAGAAAGGGAGUUAAGACAACCAAUAAAGGAUUGCUCUUGAUCCAGGGACCAUGAAAAUGCAAUAACUCCUCAUUGACAUCAACUACCCAGUUGCAAGAAGAGUGUACCUUCUGCUUUGGUGAGACACGGAUGAAGCAAUUAGUAAAAAGUAGUCAUCAACCAAGAAGCAAAUUAAUUUGGGGUAAAAUUUUUCCAGUUUAAAUGUCUGUUGAUUGGCCCUGAUCUUUGAAAGGCACAUAAAAGAAAAAAAAAAAAGUAUUGUGGUAAAUAAUAUGCAUUCACAAGAAUACUUGGAAAUCAGUCUAUAAAAAUCAGAUUAUUCCAUCACCAUCUUUCAAAUCACUAAUCAGAGCAAAGAAAAAUCGAUCAUGAAAAACAACACAGUCAGGUUCAUACAGUCUUUAUAACUAAAUGAAUUAAUUGUUCUUCGAGUUACACAUUUU